rnacentral:rRNA from 1 species
UGGGGAAUAUUGCACAAUGGGCGCAAGCCUGAUGCAGCCAUGCCGCGUGUGUGAAGAAGGCCUUCGGGUUGUAAAGCACUUUCAGCGGGGAGGAAGGCGAUAAGGUUAAUAACCUCAUCGAUUGACGUUACCCGCAGAAGAAGCACCGGCUAACUCCGUGCCAGCAGCCGCGGUAAUACGGAGGGUGCAAGCGUUAAUCGGAAUUACUGGGAGUAAAGCGCACGCAGGCGGUCUGUCAAGUCGGAUGUGAAAUCCCCGGGCUCAACCUGGGGACUUCAGUCGAAACUGGCAGGCUAGAGUCUUGUAGAGGGGGGUAGAAAUCCAGGUGUAGCGGUGAAAUGCGUAGAGAUCUGGAGGAAUACCGGUGGCGAAGGCGGCCCCCUGGACGAAGACUAACGCUCAGGUGCGAAAGCGUAGGGAGCAAACAGG